ensembl:ncRNA lncRNA:CR44593 long non-coding RNA:CR44593
AAACAAAAUAAGUGAGAUAUUAAAUAUAUAACACCAUAUUGGAUGCAGGGAAACAUAUUCAGUUGAAUACAAAAUCAGCGACUAUUGAUCAGUUUAUGUUUCCAACUUUCCAAUUUAACAUUUAACAAAGUGACUUCAUCCAUAUCCUUACCAUGACCGCAUCCACAUCCUUGUCAUGCUUUUGCCACCAUUAUGCUCCGCUGCCUCCGGCUUAUAACCAUAGUUUCGACCCUUUUCUAUGGGCCGUCGUGGGUUUGAUUAAUUGUAGAAUUUCACGCAACAGAGACCCUCGAAAAGAAGUUAAACAAAACCGAUGGAAAAGAAAAGAAAGCGCCGAGUGGGAUAACAACAAAAACCUGAAAGCCGCGAACAAUAGAGAGCGCCAAGUGUUGCAAGAAUUAAUGAUGGACCCCAACCUCCGUUUGAAACGCCAGCGAGGAAAUUGACCCACAGAGAUGUGACGAAUGUGCAUGCUCCUCGGCAGGAUCCGUAUCCAAGUGCCGGAGUGCAAGAUCCAGAUGAGAUGCAGAUCAAGGACAACGGAGGCCGCAAGGCAACAAAGGUUGGGUUUCUACUGCUCGGUGCGGCUGCCCGUUGGGCGUUUGGUUAAGCAAACCCAACGGGAGGAGUUCGCAGUACCAGGCACCCAGUAUGGAAUCGCUACAUUUGCGCCUGGCAGGAUAGCAAAAAUCCCCGAUGACCUUGAGCCCAUGGCCACGAUGGCAGACUAGCAAGUAUUCUGUGAUAAUUAAAUUAUCCUCAAACAUAUGUAACUCGAAUCAAAUGGAGAGGCGCCUCAAUCCACCAUCGAUACCCACCAUUCGAUUUGAUCCUCGUUGAUUUCACAAUUUGGCAGGACAAUGAGCGCUGAAUAGGCAACUCAUAUAACGCUAAUUUCGCGCUAUCAACGCUUGGAAAAAGGCGAUUCUGCUAUGGGAUCGUCACUUUGGGUAGAGAAAGGUCCUGAAUCCUGGCCGAAAUGCAGGAAGCAGUAGGAGGCAUCGGUGCCAUAAACGCUGCAAGUCAGCUUCGCUCGCAUUUCCACGAAUCGGCCAGCGGGAAAAUGAAGACACAUCCGUGCAAUGAAUAAGGAUGCUAAGAGACUUUUUAUGAUGCCACCCAGGGUGCUAUGAAUGAAAAUCCACCUCGCGAUCCUCAACUUUCGCCAGCGAAUGCUUCGUUUACCUGCGACCCUACUACACAUCUCCAAGACUCGAAUCUCAUCCGAUUUGGAGGAACUGCCUCGAGAGGCUCGUGCGCUCAAUCGAUGCACACAAAUAGCUAUAUAAUCGAUGAAAACAAUGCACACAUUGUGCGAUUUAUACGAUCAAAUUCAUUGGCAGUUUUCAAUUCUCAAGCAUUUUGGAAUCUCUAGCUGUUGCUUUUAUACUACGCGUUUCAAUUC